GUUCCAGACUCCUACGGGAGGCAGCAGUAGGGAAUUUUGCGCAAUGGGGGAAACCCUGACGCAGCAACACCGCGUGAAUGUUAAGCCCUUCAGGGUGUAAAGUUCUGUCAAUAGGGACGAAUUUUGACUGUACCUAUAAAGGAAGCACCGGCUAACUCCGUGCCAGCAGCCGCGGUAAUACGGAGGAUGCGAGCGUUAUCCGGAUUUAUUGGGUUUAAAGGGUGCGUAGGCGGAAUGCCAAGUCAGCGGUAAAAUCGCGGGGCUCAACCUCGCUCCGCCGUUGAAACUGGCGUUCUUGAGUGGGCGAGAAGUAUGCGGAAUGCGUGGUGUAGCGGUGAAAUGCAUAGAUAUCACGCAGAACUCCGAUUGCGAAGGCAGCAUACCGGCGCCCAACUGACGCUGAAGCACGAAAGCGUGGGUAUCGAACAGGAUUAGAUACCCCCGUAA
rnacentral:rRNA from 1 species